UGUUUUGGGAAAUAAAACUCUAACCUUCCUCUUCCCCCUGUGCUAUCUCUUCUCUGUUUGUAUCCAAGCCCAAGAAGCACCCUGGCCUUUCCUGCUUCAUUCUUUUUCCUGGACGAUGGACAAGGGCGUUGCCCUGUUUUUCUUCUCCACCAGUACACAGGCACAACAUGAUCUCCACCUUUUCCCUGACGCUAUUUCCUCCACUCAUUCAGCAUCCCACCUGACCCCUCUCCCUUUCUCAACCAAACCCUAGCCUCCCUACGCCGCCGCCUCCCGUCUUGAUUUCCUUCUUCACCGAGAGACUCGAGGGAAGUUUUCAGUUUCGUCAGUAACACCAAGAAAACCUGCCGGAGAUCGCUGUUCUUAUCGUCGUUGUUGGCCGCCGUUCGCUGCCGGAGCAUGGGGAUGGAGUUCCCGUGGCCUCUGCUACCUCCUCGCUGAGUUACCGGAGCUGGGAGCGCUCAAUUCGCCUGCAUCGUCCUCGACUUCACGGAACCAGAGCCGGCGCUUUUUCAUCGCCUUCAUCCUCGUCUCGCUCUUCGUCGCUUUCGAUCUUCCCCGUCCUCGACCACCACCUCUUUAACGCGCCAGCACCAGCUGCUCUCCGCACGCGCGCCCGGCGUCCCAUCGAGCAUCAGCACACAAGCAGCAUAUCGACAGUAGUAAGCCUCAUCACAAUGACCAGCAGUGCGGUCACUUUGCUUCUCCCCGGAUAGGAUCACGAAGUGGUGAUGUGAGAUACGACGAGUUCUCCGACAAGUUCUUCUGCAGCUUUUCACA